GCCAUGACACUCAGGUACUUAUCGUCUGGAAUGCAGAUACAGGACAUUGCUCUGGCCUUUAGAGUCGGAAUCUCGACAGCGGCGGGUGUCAUUCACUCCACCUGCAAGAUUCUCUGGACAGCUCUCCAACCCCUUUGUCUAAAGGUGCCAACUACUGAGAGAUGGCAGGAAGUUGCUGAGGGCUUCCAGAACAAGUGGAAUUUCCCCCACUGUGU